rnacentral:rRNA from 1 species
CCUACGGGGGGCAGCAGUGGGGAAUAUUGGACAAUGGGGGGAACCCUGAUCCAGCCAUGCCGCGUGUGUGAAGAAGGCCCUCGGGUUGUAAAGCACUUUCAGUGAGGAAGAACGCCUGGUGGUUAAUACCCAUCAGGAAAGACAUCACUCACAGAAGAAGCACCGGCUAACUCCGUGCCAGCAGCCGCGGUAAUACGGAGGGUGCGAGCGUUAAUCGGAAUUACUGGGCGUAAAGGGCGCGUAGGUGGCUUGAUAAGCCGGUUGUGAAAGCCCCGGGCUCAACCGGGGAACGGCAUCCGGAACUGUCAAGCUAGAGUGCAGGAGGGGAAGGUAGAAUUCCCGGUGUAGCGGUGAAAUGCGUAGAGAUCGGGAGGAAUACCAGUGGCGAAGGCGGCCUUCUGGACUGACACCGACACUGAGGUGCGAAAGCGUGGGUAGCAAACAGGAUUAGAUACCCUAGUAGUC